rnacentral:tRNA from 1 species
CAUCAGAUGACUGAAAGUAAGUAAUGGUCUCUUAAACCAAUUUAUAGUAAUUAACAAUUACUUCUGAUGA